CACCUCUCAAGGUCGCACUUGGAGAGUUUCCAGUACUCUACCAGUCUCAACUACGCGAGGGAGAGUCAAGCAGAGGCCUAUCCAUUCCAUUCCUAGCUUGGCCAGUGGCUAGUGAGUUGAAGACAAUCUACUCCAAGU
rnacentral:snoRNA from 2 species